UUUAGGUGGCUGGAUGGCAUCAGUGACUCGAUGGACGUGAGUCUGAGUGAACUCCAGGAGUUGGUGAUGGACAGGGAGGCCUGGCGUGCUGCAAUUCAUGGGGUCGCAAAGAGUCAGACACGACUGAGCGACUGAACAGAACUGAAUAAGAUCAAUGUUUUAAUUAGCUAUUGCCACAAUGAUUUCUAGCAAAGAACCAUAAAAUCUCAGUGGCAUAUAAUAAUAGGCUUUUUUUCUCCUCUCAUGGGUUUGCUGAUCAGCUCUGUAAGAUACUUCUUACUUUCUCCUGGGACCCUGAGCUAGCAUGGGCUUCUCUCAUGGUGAUGGCAGAGGUGUGAGAGAGCAAGUAGAAACUCGUGAGAUCUCUUAAGACCUAGAAUUGGAACAGAUACGGUCACUUCUGUCUCUGUUUCAUGGGCAAAGCAAGUUACGAAAGUGAAGAGGCAAAGAAACACCCUCUCCACACUGAGAUUGCACAAGUGUGGAUGAGGAUAGAGGUGAAAAUUCUGGGGCCAAUACUUGAAUCUGUUAUGUCACCUUCAAUCACAUGCAGUGAUUCCUAUGCUCUGUGAGUGGUUAAAAGGGUGUUACAGGGUUAUAAAGACUUCUCUGGUGGUACAGUGAUUAGGACUCUGAACUUUCACUGAAGGGGCAUGGGUUCAAUCCCUGGUCAGGCAACUAAGAUCCCACAAGCCACGCAACAAAACCAAAGAAAAAAAGAAAAAGAGACAAUAUUAUGGACUCACCGGUUGACCUGAAAACCUAUCUCCUGGAGGUGAUGUGAUCCAACUCCACCCCCUCCAGCUGGUGAGCUCUGUGCCUGGGAUGCCAAGCCACCCAGGUGAACUUCCAGGAUUGGAGCUGCCUUCCUUCAAGUCUAAGAUAACCAUACUCAUUUGGGCAUUAGUUAAACCGAGAUCAAAAGCUGGAUUUAUGAAAACCAGGAUAUUUAUUUUACUUUGAAGCAAAAUGUUGCUGAGCUCAUGGUUUCCAAGAGAAAAGCCACCCCAAUCAGCUCAUUGCCUUGUGACAAUCAAUGACGAUUUGCUUUGUUCUAGAUGUUGGCUGUUUGUCUACAAUGGCCCAAUUUCUCUUAUAAGGCUUUCCCCUACUCUCAACUAACCCUUGAUGCCUUGAUCAGUUACUGCCUGUCACUUGCUGUGAUUGCGUACACACUUGAUUUAUGUUGGAUGACUUUUAUAAAUGGUUACACAUUUAUUUAUUUUCAUUAAAUAAUGCUGUAUAUUUACUAUAAAUUUUUGAAUACAUAGAUAAGCAAAAAGAAUCAAGCACUGAGUGCUUUACAAACAUCAUUUCAAAUAUUCCCUGCAAUAACCCAGCAAAACGCAUGUUGUUUGGUCCAUUUCACUGAAGAG
ensembl:lncRNA